UAGAGUUUGAUCCUGGCUCAGGAUGAACGCUAGCUACAGGCUUAACACAUGCAAGUCGAGGGGCAGCAGGACGGUAGCUUGCCUACUGUCGCUGGGCCACCGGCGGCACGGGUGAGUAACGCGUUAUCCAACCUUCCCCUGAGUAGGGAAUAGCCCGGCGAAAGUUCGGAUUAAUGCCCUAUGCUGUCCGACGAAAGCCUUUGAAUCGGAAGAAAAGAUUAUAUCCCUCAGGGAUGGGGAAGCGUCCUUAUAUAAGUUUGCGGCGGGGUAACCGGCCCCCCUGGCCCAACAUCAGUAAGGGGUUCUGAAAGGAAGGUCCCCCACAUUGGAACUGAGACACGGUCCAAACUCCUACGGGAGGCAGCAGUGAGGAAUAUUGGUCAAUGGGCGAGAGCUUGAACCAAGCCAAGUAGCGUGCAGGAAGACGGCCCUAUAAAAAGUAAACUGCUUUUGGAGGGGAAUAAAGUGGCGUACGUGUACGCCUUUGUAUGUACCCUCAGAAUAAGGACCGAAUAAUUCCGUGCCAGCAGCCGCGGUAAUACGGAAGGUCCGGGCGUUAUCCGGAUUUAUUGGGUUUAAAGGGAGCGCAGGCCGCCGAUUAAGCGUGACGUGAAAUGUCCCGGCUCAACCGGGGAGUUGCGUCGCGAACUGGUUGGCUUGAGUGCGGACGAGGUAUGCGGAAUUCGUGGUGUAGCGGUGAAAUGCUUAGAUAUCAGGAAGAACCCCGAUUGCGAAGGCAGCCUACCAGUCCGUAACUGACGCUAAAGCUCGAAAGUGCGGGUAUCGAACAGGAUUAGAUACCCUGGUAGUCCGCGCGGUA
rnacentral:rRNA from 1 species